CUACGGGUUGCAGCAGUGAGGAAUAUUGCACAAUGGGGGGAACCCUGAUGCAGCAACGCCGCGUGGAGGAUGACGCAUUUCGGUGUGUAAACUCCUUUUAUAUGUCAAGAAAAUGACGGUAGCAUAUGAAUAAGUACCGGCUAACUCCGUGCCAGCAGGCCGCGGUAAUACGGAGGGUGCAAGCGUUACUCGGAAUCACUGGGCGUAAAGGACGCGUAGGCGGGUUGGAAAGUCAGGUGUGAAAUCCUACAGCUUAACUGUAGAACUGCACUUGAAACUUCUAAUCUAGAGUAUGGGAGGGGGAGAUGGAAUUAGUGGUGUAGGGGUAAAAUCCGUAGAUAUCACUAGGAAUACCUAAAGCGAAGGCGAUCUCCUGGAACAUUACUGACGCUAAGGCGUGAAAGCGUGGGGAGCAAACAGGAUUAGAUACCCUUGUAGUC
rnacentral:rRNA from 1 species